rnacentral:rRNA from 1 species
UACAGAGGUCCCGAGCGUUGUUCGGAUUCACUGGGCGUAAAGGGUGCGUAGGUGGUGUGGCAAGUUUGAUGUGAAAUCUCCGGGCUUAACCCGGAAAAUGCAUUGAAUACUGCCAGGCUGGAGGGUUGGAGGGGGGACUGGAAUUCUCGGUGUAGCAGUGAAAUGCGUAGAUAUCGAGAGGAACACCAGUGGCGAAGGCGAGUCCCUGGACAACACCUGACACUGAGGCACGAAAGCUAGGGGAGCAAACAGG